ACUUCGAUUAUUUUUAAAUUUGUAUUUAUCCAUGCAUCGACUCAUUGGCUUAUCAGCCAUAUGUUAAUUGAUUAUUGUUUAUUGAUGAGCUUGCUAUAUAAUAAGAUAAAGUUUGCUGUAUGUUCCACAAAGAUAAUUGCCCAAUAAUAAAGAAUUAGUAAUGAUUUAGUAGUAUUUCAAGUUUCAUAUUGUAAUGCCAAAAGUGAAAUAAUCUGUUUUCUUAUUAAAUGUGAAAAAUGGAAAAAGCAUCGAAAAACAGGAAUAAACGUAGAAAAUACGGGAAAAUCGGUACAAUACUAAACAAAUAUUAUUAAAGAAAAUAUAAAACGCCUAUAAAAUAUCGAAUC